CUCUAGCAUCACAAGUAUUAGAGGC
rnacentral:piRNA from 1 species